GUCUUCGCCUUCGCCUUAUCCUACGUUAUUCUGAGCCUCCGUCGUCCUCCUCCCUGCUGCUAAAACCAAAACCCUUCACAAGAAUCCACCAACACGCCAUCACCUCAGAGCCCAUCAUUGGUCAUCCCUUUCGGAGAAAGCACGUUUGGCUUCUUGCGGUGCUGCUCCGGUACAGUCGAGAGGAGACGCUGGAAGAUCCACGGAUGGUGCUGGUGAGCAUUUUUCCAUUUCGAUGACAACGAAGGAAGUGGGCUGUUCUUCUCUCCUGUUCAUUUGCGAGUUUAGCGCCAGUAGAUUAUACCCGAACGGUGUCUAAGCUGCCAUUCUUGUCCUGCUGCGCAGAUAUGUUAGGACUGUGGUGUACCCUCUCUCCGACUGCCUUGUUUCCAGCGGUGGAAUCGUUCUCCGGAUCUCUGGUUUCGGACAAAAAUCUUCACGAGGGGGGAAGGACUAAACCGCGGCGCCCAUGUUUGAGAGUGCUUCUCAAUUGCGUAAGACACUUCUACGGAUUGCCAUCUUCAGGAGCUGGUCUCGUCUCCGGCGUACGGCUAGAACACGGGAGAAAGGAAACUUGAACAUUUGCCACUUCCCACACGUGCACCUGCCUCUCUCCAGGUGGAAAAGCUUGGUCAUAGCGACCUUUCCGCUUCCGAUCGUGCUGUAACUUACUUUGAUAAUACCCUGCUCUGGUCAAACGGUACGAGAUCA